UUCGCGUUUUCCAUUUUAAUUUAGGUAGGUACCAGGUCGGUACCUUUGGACUGUCUUUAUCACAUGACUCGUGUGUUUGUCCGGGUGAUCUGUACAUCCAUCUCAGCAUUUCAGUGUCGCUGAAUAUCAUAUUUUAAACUGUAACCUUCAUGGAUAUGGUUGAACAGAGUUUGGACAGCUAUUAGAGAGGGUGUGGUGACGGAGGAGCAGACUGCAGUUACCAUACAGAGUGUACAGCAGGCCGCAGCUUUUGCGGAUCAUAAUGUUCAAUACCAGUUCUGCACAGAGGACAGUUGACCUAUCAUGUGGUCUAGGUGACAGAUGACCAGCUAGAGGCAGCAGCGACGGUACUGGGGCAGUCAGUGUGGUCUUCACUGC